CCCCGCAGCAGGGGCGAUUGUGUCAGCACCGGGAGGACCAUGCUGGGACUCUGAACCCGCCUCUCGCCCUGGAGGAACGGCCACCGCUCCGGACAAUACUGAUUACCCGAGAGAGGCAAGUAAGUAUUCAAGGGGUGCUUCACAAAUUAUCUUCCUUAAACCCCAACCCCCUCCCACCCCAAGCCAACACCCCCGCUUCUGGUCUGCAGCUCUUGAGGGACAAGCGACAAGCUGGCGGCAAGGUGGUGAGGGAACUUUCUUCCAGAAUGAAGUGGAAAGCAGUGGUCUUUCUUCCUGGCUGUGGCGACCCAUGCCAGGUAAAACCCCAACCAGGGUCCCUCGUCCAAUUCUCUGUCCCAGGUAAAGGGGUCGGGAUUGGAGGAGAAGCCUAUUGGAACCGAGGUUCGCUGAGCCUGGGGCUGCUUCGGAGGGCCGUAGGAGCGGGUAAUAGGGCUUGGAAUCUGCCAAAGGUUCCGAGCCCGCCGCCAAAUUCACGAAGAAGAAAGGAGGCAGUGAGGGCGCCUGGAAAGCGGCAAGCGGCUUCUCAGCCCGGAACCUGAGAGCUCCUAAGGGGUACUCGACCAGCUCGAGCUGUAGGGGCGUCUAGUUUUCGUACCUACCCGCGGGGCGACGCCGAAACCCAGCUUGCAGUUUAUCUGGCUCGGUCUGACGCCGCGUCGGAGGUGGGCAGCAUCACAGAUUUGAGAGUGCGCGCUCUCCGGACCCAGCCUCUCCAAGCCCACCACCGCCGCCUCGUCUCCCGCACUGCUCUCCCUUCAGACUCUGGAUGCCGCCGACGAGUUGCAUGCAGAAAAGCGGCGGGGUUAGGUGUUCCAGACCUCUCCUCUCUGAUUUGUCCGCCACAAGAUCCUGAGCGCCAGGAGUCCUGGGAUUCUGCCUGCAGAAGACCAGAGAGCUCAGUGCCGAAAGAUAAAAUCUGAAAAGUGCCGGGAGGCAGCUGGGUAACCAUCCCAGUGCAAAGGGCUCUGCGUACCCGCUGCAAUUGAGGCAAAUAACCCCACUAAUCCGGGAAGGAAAAGGAGAGGCUACGAUGAUUGCGCCCAGGAGGGAGCCAGGUGCGCUGGCAAAGCGCAUCUGGUGCAGACACGUCCUUGUCUCGCCUUUUACCCUGGCGGAUGAAGCGCCUGUACUUCAGGGCCCUACCUCGGGAUUAGAAUCAGGCUGCUGAAGGUCCCCAGAGCCCCUCCACGGCGAGUCCGAGACUCCAGCUUCAGCACUAGAGGCUGGACAGCGCCCUGGUCCGAGAGCGCCCAGGGUGGGUUACCGCGCGCUACUUGGCCUCCUCGCCCGACGACGCUCGCAGGCCCUCAGGUCCCACGCGGAGGAGGCUAGAGUUCACUAAGAAAGGAGAUAUUCAUCUUCCCCAUUUCUCCAGGAGUUUGGGUAUCAGAUUCUAGGAGGGCAUUCUAUCUCCCCUUCGCAAAAAGCGGUUGAAAUAACUUGGUCCUAAAUGCUGGCAGGUUGCCGAAGAGAAAAGAGGCGCACCUGUGAGUGAUGAUCUUAGGGGCCAGCGGGGCAGUGGUUCUACCGGGAACCCCAGGCACAGGUGAACUGUGAAAGAGCGCCACUUCCAAGUCGUGUUCUCUCUCGCGACCGCGGCCCCAUCUCCCCUUCUUUCUCUUUCCACAAUCUCCAUACGCCUUAUCGCCAGUGAAUGAAGGGAAAAGCGUGGGAUGGUGGGAGAAGAUAUUGAGAUAUUGAGGCUGAGGAUAAAGAGCACAUUUUAUCAAGGUUGUAAUAUGUCCAAAACGAACAUCAAGGUCCGCAUUUUUAGCCAAAAGAGCCUAAACUGAUCCUUUGUAUGAGGAGCAGAAUGACUGUUUUGAUGGGAAGGAAAAAAGUCACAGAAGGGAAGACGUUAUCACAAAAAGGCUAGCAGGGAUGGGGGAGGAGAAGAGGGGGACAGGACCCCCGCACUAGAGUGUGAUUACCAGGCAACCAGCCCCAGCCUCUUGUUGCCUUGGUUACACUGAGUGGAGGGGCUCCAGUUAUUGAUUAUCCGUGAGCACCUUUAUUCUUUAAAAUAGCUUCUAGAGAGCCUGGGCCUUCCCAGGUUUCGAUGGGUGUCAACAGCCGCUCCUGCAAAAUCCCUCGGGGUUAAGAAGAAAUCCUGGAAUGUGAAUUUUUCCUUUUAAGUCAAGGUGAAAGGCGAAGUAGCUACCUUUCCACCAUCGCAGUCCUUCCCACCCUGUCCCCGGCCCCCUUCAGAGAGGCAAUCAUAUCCUAUUCUGUUCUUUCUCUGGGAUUUACGAUUAAGGCUUUUCCCCCCAUGUGGUUCUUUAGACAGAAGGUCUGAUUCUUACCUCCAUCCCUCACUUUUUCCUCUAAUGAGAAAGACAUAUUUGUUCUUCAUGGAUGAACCAGAGAGAGGAAAUUAUCUAAAGGUGUCUCCAGUUAAAAAAAAAAAAAAGGCUUUCUCCUUGGUUUGGCAGUGUUUUCUCCCUCCCUAAACACCCCCCUCAUGUUGGAAAGGCUGAAUUCUAGAUCAUCCCUUCUUUUCACCUCUUCGCACAGACCACACAGAAAACACAUGUACGUAGAAAUGGGAUUCUCUUAGCAAAAACCACUAGCAUCACCAGUAUCUGAUUCCUCAGAAUUCUUUUAUCUUUUCUUCCUCUUCAGCUCUGCCUUCAAAAUUAGUAAAUGCAGCACUUAAAGGUCCUAAUCCUCUGAACUUUUCCAUUUCCCUUGAUUGACAAAUGUUGAGUCCACUUUUCACUUGUCAGAUUUGUCUGCCUGCAUUCAUUUGUAGUAUCUGGGUAGAAAAUAAUUUUACCCAUAAUUUUCCAAAGACAGCUGUAACAUUCUCAGAAUGAUUUACGGGAAAAUCACUAAUAAGUUAAACGAGUAACCUGUGUUCUGUGCACUGUUUCAUCUAGAACACUUCUUAAGAGCCAUGAGCUUUCUCUUUCCAAAGCAAAACCUUGUUUUAAACAAGCUCUUACUUGACAACAGAGGAAGGGAAGAAAAGUCCAUUAUAGGCAGUAACUGUCAUAUUUUUAUCUUUGUUGCCCUGCAUCAACAAACACACAUAUCUCUCCUUUUCUCUUCUUCAAUUUUUCCUUCACUCAUUGCUAAUGUAAAACUUUUUAAAAAUAUUAUUAUUAUUUCAGGUUAAGUUAAAGGCCAAAAUUAUCCUGCAUGGGCUGGACAGAUAUAGUUUUAGAGACAUUUACAUUAAAAUGCUUUUCCUGCACGUUAUUAUAAAAACUUUUUUUUAAGCCCAAACUAGACAGCUGGUCUGCUUUUUGUACUUUUUUCUUUGGUGCCUUCCUUUAUGAAUUCUCUGGGGCAGCUAUCAUCACAUCAAUAAUGUCCCAUAGCAACAAUAUGGUUUUUUAAACAUUAUUAUUCCCUUUCUUUUCAUUUUCUUUAUGGACAAAGGGUCUACUUUCCUUUCAAGAAGAGAACUGAGAUCUUAUUGACAAAAAAGGAAGAUGCAUCCUUUCAUUGGUUGGUAUGUAUUGCCUUGUUAACCAAUCAGAGGAUGCCAUUUAUUCUUUUCUGACUAGCUAAGUGAGCAGGGUGCCCAGAAUGAUUGAAUCUGCCUUAGUUCCAUCAAGUAGCAAAGGAUGAACUCAGAGUUCUGAGACCCAGGAUUUGCUAUUUGCUUUGGCUAAUCCAGAUUGUAUUUGACUUGUAAGGAUGAAUUUAGCUACCUAAUUAUUUUUAGCUUACUUGAACACAUCUGGAUUACACAUUAUUCUAUGAAUUUUUUUCAUUUAAAAAUAUAUUAUGAUUAUCUUUCCAAGUCAGUGCAGAUUAUUGGUAUCAGCACACCAAUGGUCCAGGGAUCUUUGUGAUUUCCUGUAAAAGUAUAGAAUUGGUCCCCACCCUUAAAGAUUUAGUGAAAACUUGGGGGGAUAAGGAUUGGAAGGUAGAAGAGUGAAGAGCUAUGUUACCCUUGAUGAACAAAUAUUUCAGCUUUUGGAUUCAUUCUGUCCAACUUUGGUGUCCCUGGUAGUUUUGUCUGUUUCUCUAUUUUGAUUCUUCACAGCUGCCCUUCUGGCCCACAUUUUCAGUGACAAGUAGAAAAGCUGGAUGGAUGGAGACAAUGCCCUCUAAUUCCGUGUAAGAGAAGACCCAUAACUUCCCAGGAAGGCUGUGCCGAAGCAACUUACUGCGAAGAAACACCCUGCCCCAUAAGACCAAGAAAAGACACCUGGGUUCCCCCAUUGUGUAUCUUUGAUGAGCGUUUCCUCCUAAGAAGCUCUGGAAUCUGUCCCAAGCUCUUUAUCCUCUCCACCACUCUGGCCACCAGGAUCUUAUCCUGCCUGAAUGUCCACAAUCACUCCCCUCCACCCCUCUUUCUCCUGGGGGG